rnacentral:rRNA from 1 species
CAUGAAGCUGGAUUCGCUAGUAAUCGCGCAUCAGCCACGGCGCGGUGAAUACGUUCCCGGGCCUUGUACACACCGCCCGUCAAGCCAUGGGAGUCGGGAGUGCCUGAAGUGCGUGAGCGCGAGCAGCGCCCUAGGGCAAAACCGAUGACUGGGGCUAAGUCGUAACAAGGUAAC